rnacentral:lncRNA from 1 species
ACUAUUUCCAAAAAUUCUCAAAAAUACAGAAAUGAAGAUCUCAAUGAGUAGAGUAAACUUUAUACCUGAGGCUAAGGCCAAUUUGGCUUGGAAACACUUCAAUUUCACCAAAAUCCGUACGAAACCCUAUAUGUGGUGAUCUUCAAUUCGUCUUCAAUUCAACUCCGCCGCUCCAACCAAUGAUUGGGCAUUGUUCUAGGCCUCAAGGGAAGUGUAUGGGUGGUGGUAAUUGAAAGAAAUUGCUUCGGAAUUGGGUGAAAUUUGAACAAGAAGUCGCGGCACCCACGGGUGCGUUCUUUACCAAAUCACCAUCAAAUUUCAUGAUUUUUGGGAUGAAACAUGAAGAGGGAAGGCCUAGGUGUUGAUUGGGAGUGGUUGUUUGGCUCAAUGCAUCGGAAAAAUGGGUGAAAACGUCGAAAUUUGGGUGUGGGUGUCGCGGGUCGAAACUGGUUGCGGGUGAAGACUCGUUUUCUUCCUUCUCUUCUCCGCUUCUCGCCCUCUCUCCUUUCCUCCUUUCUCUGUUCCGAUUGGCCGGUCUCCUCUCUCUUCUCCCCAUUCGCCAGCCUCUCUCUCCUUUCUUUCCCGGAGCUCCUGCUCUCCUCCUCUCUCAUUUCCUGAUUGGGCAUUUUUGCCUAGUCUCUUUUCUCUUCUUCUUCACCAGUCACACACACACACACACACACACAAAACCUCAUUUCUUCUCAUCCCAGCCAUCCAUUUAUUUCUUCAUUAAUCUGGGCCGUCCACUUUCAUAAAAGAAAUUCCGGAUUUUACUAAAUUAUAAUUCCUAAAAUGCCCAAAUUUCAAACGUUAAUAACUUCUUCGAUAUAACUCCAAAUCAUGUACCGUCUACGCUCACGCGUCUGUAGCGACAGGUACUACGAGGAUAUGUCAAGAAAACAAAUCUUAGAUGGCACGACAUAACGAUUAACCUCAAAUAAUGCGCGUGUCUCAAAGGGCAUUUUUGUAAAAUCCUUUAUUAAAACUUUAAAAACUCUUAAAAUUAGGGACGGGCUGUCACAUCUAUGAAUGCGUCUUAAGAUUUUUGCCACAAUAGAACGUUGAAGAAAGAUUAGUGAUGGUUAGUGUUUGAUUAUUAAGAGUGGGUUUAUUGAUAAAUUUUACUUUUAUAAUGAAAUUCAUCUUAUACAUGAUGGUGAUUAUGCAAUAGGAUAAUAAAGACAUUUCAUAAUUAAAGUUUAAGUUGGGUGUAGAGAGAGAAUAAAUGAGUUCAAAUAAAAUUUCUCAGUGCAGAUUAAGUCCUUGAACUAUCAUCUCAGUAAAAAUUAGGUCUUUGAAUUAUUUUUUUUCAAUAAAAUAAGUCCCUAAAUUUAUUAAAAUUGGUAAUUUCAUCCCUACUAUUAUAUUCAAAGGUAUUUUAUCCAAUUUUUCGUCAAUUGAAGUCACUUUACACACUUUAGAGUGUAAUACGAUUAUUUUCCUGCCUAUAAUCCCUUAACGUUUCAUAUAUGUUGUGAAGCUAACGUCUAAUUUACCCUCCAAAGUUAACUUACACUAUUUCUUAUGUAAAACUACCAAUUUUCCCUUCAAAGUUAACUCCCUACACUAUUUCUUUGUGAAAAAACUACAAAUCUACCCUCCAAUGUGUAUCAUGCAAGUAAUGUGACUUAAAUUGAUGAAAAAUUGAAUAUAGUAGCUUUGAAUAUAAUAUUAGGGAUGUAAUCGGUUGAUUUUUAUAAUCCAAGGACUAAUUUUUUUGAAGAAAAAAAAAAUAGUUUAGGGACCUAAUUUUUAUUGAGAUGAUAAUUUAGGAACUAAAUUGGUAAUUCACCCUAUACAUAGUUCCAUCAGACAUACUUCAAUCCUUGGGGCAAAUAUGAGUUUUAACUAAAGGCUUAUUUCUGGUGCAAAUUUUGCCCAAGAUUCCCCUAGAUUAGUGAGAUGACCCACCAUAUAUGUGUAUUUCUUUUAGUUUUAUAUUUAUAAAUUCAUUGAACCCAACGACUAAGAUCUAAUAAGAUCAAAUCCAACGGCAAAAAAAAGAUCUAAUGGUCCAAAUUUAAAUCCAACAGCUAAAGUAAUUUUAAAAAAUUAUAUGUUUCAUAUUCUUUCAUAAUGUUCCACGAGUUUCAUGGCAUCGAUUUAGUGAUUUUUCAAUAUUUAUCGCAAUCUAAACAUUUUUAGGUUAAAAUGUUCAUCAAAUUAAAUUAGGAUAAUCUACAUCAUUUUUUUAAAGUUAUUUUAAGAAAUUUUUUUUUAAUUCAUUCUUUAAUAAUCUCGGGCUAACAAUUUAAUGCAUAAGGGUUAGAGGAGAAAAACUGUUUCUAGGUAAAACGUAAAUUUUCUAGGUUAAAAUUUUUAGAUUUUAACCCCAGGGUUAAAGAUGGAAAUAAGAAAGAGUAAAUAACAUUUUACAACCUCAACUUUGGGUUGCAUAACAAAUUCAUACCUUAUCUUUUAAACAUUAUAAUACAUCAACUUAUGAAUUUGUUGUAAUGUUAGACCUCCUAAAUUUUCUUAAUUUGGCCGUUAAAUGAUUAUUAGACAAAUAUAUGGUCAACUUUUUUACUGAUAUGGAUGUUGAGUUUAAGCCAUUUGGAUAAAAAAAAAAUUUAAUAUUUAUAAAAAUUUGAAAAAUAUUAUAAAAUA